rnacentral:rRNA from 1 species
UGAGUGUUGGGAGUUUUUGGUGGGGGUGUGUGCUUGGUGAGGGGAGGGAGAGGAGCGCGUUCGUAGGAGAGGAGGCAUGGGAGCGUGCGCCAAGGACGCGGCGGCGGUGUACCCUCGAACAGCUGGUCGGGUCGCAGGAGGUCUAGUGGCGGCGGGGAGAGGCCUAGCGGCGGCGGGGAGAGGCCUAGCGGCGGCAGUGGCGGGGCCUAGCGGUGGAAGCGGCAGCCUUAGCGACGGUUGCAGAGCAGCGGGGCCUAGCGGCGGCAGCGGCCCGGUACCGCCACCUCCAGCUGCCGUGGGCCUUCGCGCCCCGCCGCCGGAAGGACCUGCUGGGGAAGCUCCACGACGUCCACUUCGCCCCGGCCACGAGUGGCAGGCGGUGGUGCCGGAGCCAGCGGCUGGAGCCGUAGUUGUACCUCAAGCUGGGGCAGCUCCGCCAGGUCAGGCAGAAGGGGCCGCGGCUAGGCGUCGAAGACGCCCCGAUAGAGCUUCGCAGCCCUUUACAGAACCUACGACGGUAGUCUUCGGAGUCACUAAUAAACCGUAGCCUAAGUCGUUGCUGGUUACGACCACGGAGGAGUAGACCUCACCGUAGAGUACACUGCCACUACUUAUGAGGUCGGUUGUCCUGACUUACCUGCCUCGAUUAACAGUUCCUCUACAGCAGGCGAAGUCUAGGCUUACUGCGGUCCUUAGCUCAGAAGUCCUAUGUACUUUACAAGCUGUUUACACGGCGUUUGACGUCAUGAGUACUACUCCGCGUAUUUUACGCACUCCUGGCUUACCUAAAAACCAGAUAUAACGUUUAUACGUAUUACCUAAUAACCACUCGAGCCAUAACCACCAGAUGAGGGAAAGUAGGGACAUAAAGAUUCUUUUGGUUUGAUUAUACGUAGGUACAUAAAAAAUUAAGUUCAAGAAAGUAUACCCAAUGCAUUUUUCGUUUACAACGAAGAAAAAUAAGUCUACGAAACUCUUGGUUCAGAUGGACCAAGAGAAGGAAAGUAGGUACAUAAAAUUACACGUCACAUGUCACACAUCUUACUCGUUUGAACACUUAGAUCUCGUGUUUGAGUACUAACUAGUUCCCUCACCGUGACGGCCGACCCAAUCUCAUAUUAGUUGACAUGAACCUCAAAAAAAAAACACUAUGCACAUCGAAAGUCGAACGCUCGGAAAGUUUAUACGUUCACAGGCUACGGUAUCCGAUGAUACCUUCAACACUUACGAUACAUCAAAGGCCAUGAUGAACGUAAGUCUUUACUUGAUAAAGUCCGACUGGUAGAUUCAAAAUGUUUAAAUAAAGUCUUUACUUGAUAAAGUCCGACUGGUAAGUCUUUACUUGAUUCAAAGUCUUUACUUGAUGAACAUACAUAUCACUCUAGUUUAAAUAAACAAGAUCCCUGUAAAGACUUGUACGCAUACCUUAUUCUAGUACUUGUACAUAUACCUAAUACUUAAAUCAUAAAAAACUAUUCACUUAAAUGAAAAUAGAUAACUAUUUUUUUAUAAAAACAACAGUCUGCUUCCCGUGCUGUCUACCGCGGCCGCCCUUCCACUCGUCGACACCUCUAUUCGCUCCUUUCCUCAUCACACUCCGCCAACCGCCACAACUUCUCCUACUCUCCCGGCGUGUGAGCCACGGUACGAUGACCUCCCGGGCGACGACCUCCGUCAGGAUCCCUAAAAACCUAGUUACUGUCAUUGCAACCGCUGGGUCCAUAGAAGAAGGUAGAGAUCUAGGACUUAGAUGUCGAGAGAUUAGACGUUUAUGUGCGUCAUCGCUGCCCAUGUUAACGUACCAACACUGACGGCUGGUCAUGUGCUCACCCCGACGGCAAGAGGAUGGCCAUUAGUCGACGAGGUCACGGUGGCGUAUAUAUGAGGCUACUCAUAGGAACUAUAGAAGGGAGGUGUAACGUAGAUUACUGUGUGAAGGUGUAACGUAGACUACUGUGUGAAGGUUGACCUUAUAUAGUUAAUGUAUGGUGCCAGUAUUCACAGUGUGAAGGUUGAAUCCUGUACAGUACUACUACACGAAAAACCAAUAGGAUCCUGAAUGUUUUUGUACAGUAGACUAGACAAGGGGAAGCCAUGUAAUCUACAAUAUCCAGUAAACAACUCGCCAAUAUUACUGAAAAAGAAACCCAUUCAGAUACCAUUUUAUAUACGUCUAAAGGAGAGUUUUGAUAGAUGGUCAGUAUAACAAUUCCCUCCUAGGUUAGAUAAUGAAACUUAAAUUCGAUAGUGUAAAUAGUAUAUCAUAAAUUAUAACCAUCUUCUAAUUUAAUAACUGUACUGAAAUUAACUUUAAAAAUCCACUUUAAACUUUGAAGGGAAGUCUCUACGAUUUCAUGAUAAAUAAACUGGCCGAACCACAUGUAACUGGAAAUGGCGGACUUACAAUACUUAAUAUAAGCACCACCUACUAUACUUACAGCCCCUCCACUACCUCUUCAUACUGCUCCUUGAACACUUCCGACUCCCGUACCUCUUCUUCCCCUCUUAGAUUCACCCUCCGACUGUAACCGCUUCCUCUUCCGAUCUACUCACAACCGUAACCGUCUGUUGCCCAGUGACGUCUACCGUAAGUGACUUAAUAAUUUCCUUAACUUCGAGGGUUUUACUAGUUUAUUUAUUCUAUCGUUACUCUGUAUCUUACGACACAAUAAUUAAUAGAAACAGGAGUUUUUCCUACAGCACUAUCAUCAGCACGAAACGUAUAUUCAACGAAGUUGUUGAUAUAAGAACUUUACUACACGGUAUCCAUCCACCUUUUUGAUUCUUUAUGUUCGUAAGGAGACACACACUCUCUCUCACGAGAUGUGCGACGGAAAUACCUAAUUUGGCCACGAGAUUAAUUUACUAUUUAACUCACAUGAAAAAAAGAAACUGGCAAUAUACUGUUUUACUUACUUGUACACUCACGAUAGGUCUAAUAGGUACUUCACGGAACUGUAUACGAUAUUUCUCUAGCACACUUUUGUUUCGACUUCAACAACGGGUCCUACUCUUCCUUUCACCAGAAGGUCGUUGUGAUUUGUACCAGUACAUAAUGUGUAUGUAUACUACUACAUACAUUACGCAGGCUAGUAACAACAGAAAAUACAGUUCAAAUAAACAGAACGUAAUACUACCAGGUACAUUUUUAUUAACCUACUCAACGGUUGGGUCAUUCUUCAAACUAAAUUAAAACAACGAGGACGAACGAAACAACUACGUAAAGUACCUCUACUGAGCACAUACAUUGUAGGGCCUAUACUAAAUGGGUUAUACAUAAGGUUGAGAACGGCAAAAGCUGCAAUUCAAUAAAAUAAAAGAGC